AGUGAACGCUGGCGGUAGGCCUAACACAUGCAAGUCGAACGGCAGCACAGUAAGAGCUUGCUCUUACGGGUGGCGAGUGGCGGACGGGUGAGGAAUACAUCGGAAUCUACUUUUUCGUGGGGGAUAACGUAGGGAAACUUACGCUAAUACCGCAUACGACCUACGGGUGAAAUCAGGAGAUCUUCGGACCUUGCGCGAUUGAAUGAGCCGACGUCGGAUUAGCUAGUUGGCGGGGUAAAGGCCCACCAAGGCGACGAUCCGUAGCUGGUCUGAGAGGAUGAUCAGCCACACUGGAACUGAGACACGGUCCAGACUCCUACGGGAGGCAGCAGUGGGGAAUAUUGGACAAUGGGCGCAAGCCUGAUCCAGCCAUACCGCGUGGGUGAAGAAGGCCUUCGGGUUGUAAAGCCCUUUUGUUGGGAAAGAAAAGCAGCAGGUGAAUACCCCGAUGUUCUGACGGUACCCAAAGAAUAAGCACCGGCUAACUUCGUG
rnacentral:rRNA from 1 species